rnacentral:rRNA from 1 species
ACGGUCCUAAGGUAGCGAAAUUCCUUGUCGGGUAAGUUCCGACCCGCACGAAAGGUGUAACGAUUUGGGCACUGUCUCAACGAGGGACCCGGUGAAAUUGAAAUACCUGUGAAGAUGCAGGUUACCCGCGACUGGACAGAAAGACCCCAUGGAGCUUUACUGUAACCUGACAUUGGGUUUUGUUGUAUUACGUACAGGAUAGGUGGGAGGCUUGGAAGGCUGGACGCUAGUCUGGCUGGAGCCGUCGUUGGGAUACCACCCUUGAUACAACGGAAUUCUAACCGAGAGAGUAACGAAAUCCGGGACAGUGUCAGGCGGGCAGUUUGACUGGGGCGGUCGCCUCCGAAAGAGUAACGGAGGCGCCCAAAGGUUCCCUCAGCGCGGCCGGAAAUCGCGCGAAGAGUGUAAAGGCAGAAGGGAGCUUGACUGCGAGCCAAACACGGCGAGCAGGUACGAAAGUAGGGCUUAGUGAUCCGGUGGUACCGAGUGGAAGGGCCAUCGCUCAACGGAUAAAAGCUACCCUGGGGAUAACAGGCUAAUCUCUCCCAAGAGUCCAUAUCGACGGGGAGGUUUGGCACCUCGAUGUCGGCUCAUCACAUCCUGGGGCUGAAGUCGGUCCCAAGGGUUGGGCUGUUCGCCCAUUAAAGUGGUACGUGAGCUGGGUUCAGAACGUCGUGAGACAGUUCGGUCCCUAUCCAUCGCGGGCGCAAGAGAUUUGAAGGGGUCUGCUCCUAGUACGAGAGGACCGGAGUGGACGGACCGCUGGUGUACCAAUUAUCCUGCCAAGGGUAUAGUUGGGUAGCUACGUCCGGAACGGAUAAACGCUGAAAGCAUCUAAGCGUGAAACCAUCCUUAAGAUGAGAUCUCUCAUAGAGUAAUCUAGUAAGACACCUUGAAGAUUACAAGGUUGAUAGGCAGGAUGUGUAAGCACAGCAAUGUGUUAAGCUGACCUGUACUAAUAUGUCGAGGGCUUGACUUA